CAGUAAUUGUGACAUAUUUUUUCACUCAGACACUACAUUUCUCCCAACAGGUUCCUCCAUGAUGGUCCCAGAACAUGGAGAUCUGGGUAGAAAAUCCAGAAAGGGAACUGAGGACUGAGCAAUGGGAAGUGGGCUCAGAGGCAAUGACAUCUGGGAGUACAGACAAACUCACCGAUUCAGGAUCAGUCUGAUUCACUUUCUUCCGGGUAUGACUUUUUAAAAAAAUAAAGAUUAGUAUUGUAAGAGUAAUAAAGAAGUCUUAACAUAAACAAAUACGUGGAAGAAGAUUCAUUCAAAAAAUAAACAUUCCUAGUAAGGUACAAAUAAAUAGUAUUCAACCCUUCUUAAAAGUAUGAACUGAAAGAUGAGGAUGACAGCUUUGGACAGCAGAGAAGUUGAAAGAGGCUCAAAACACCUUGGUAGACUCUUAGAGGAAAUGUAAACCACACAUUCAUCUAGAUUUACUUCCCUGUUUUGUCAUCCGUGUUAAAAGUAUACAUUACAAUGGAG
rnacentral:lncRNA from 1 species